rnacentral:snRNA from 1 species
AUCGCGUCUCGGGCUUGCGGCUGAGAGCAAGUGUCGCGUCUGUCUUCUCAGUUUAAUAUCGGAUACGCCUUCUAUCCGAGCACAGUCUGUCCCACGGAGUUUGGGAGCGGGGAGCUGGAACCGGAGCUUGCUCCAUCCAUUCCACACAUCGCCCUGGUAUUGCAGCACUUCCAGGAAUGGUGCCCCCAUA